AAUAAUAAAUAAAUCUUUCAUGAAAGGUCUGGGGGCCUUUUGACCUACAAUAUGACUACAGGCUCUAUCAUGCAUGCAGAUAUGCAUCAAACGAUUUCUGAGUUUCUGCUGAAUGCAAGAGAAUAUGCACCCUUUUUUCCUCAAAAAGAGUGGGAAUUCAUUUACCAUGGAGCCAUAUUGUAACGCUAAUACUGCAUAUUGUGACCUGGAUAUCAUGGUGCUUAGUACAUGCUGGAGGACUUCAACACUUAGCAUUUACUUGACUCUAUGUUAAGCUCUGGUUCCCACCCUUUUGAUUUUCUGCAGAAGACCAAGAAGAAAGCUCAGAUGGGGCGGGGACAGAGGAAGAGCUGCUAACAGAGUAGAAGAGGCAUUUACUUGAACCACAUCUAACAAACCAGAAAAAUAAAGGCAGUGUUUUCCUGCCUGAAGCUCCUUACUUUUAUCUGCCCGAAGUUUAUUCGAGAACAUAGAUGUUUAACUCAUUGUUCAGACUGCUCAGCUCUUCAGUUUGUAAAUGCCACCAUACCUGGACAUUCAAAACAGCCAAUGAACGGGCCUGAAGGGGAUGCAGUUUCAUCUUCCUUGGUCACUGCCCAGCUUCACGCAUGGAGAAAAGUGCUUAGAGCAUUGUCGUUGGCAUCAUUAGGACUUCUUCUUUCUCUCUGCUGCUGAAAUGGUCUGUAAAGAGAAGUCUUGCUGGCCAAAGUGAUAUGGGCUGCAAUGGGUCUCAGUUGUGGCAGGCGGGAUCUUUAAUCUGUGUUGUGGCAUGUGGGAAUCUUUAGUUGCAGCAUGUAGGAUUUUUUUUUUUUUUUUAGUUGUGGCAUGCAGACUCCUGAUUGUGGCAUGUGGAAUCUCGAUCCCUGACCAGAGAUCAAACCUGGGCCCCCUGGAUUGGCAGCAUGGAAUCUUGGUCACUGGGCCACCAGGGGAGUCCCCUACUUUACUUUUCUGAAUCUGCCCUGGGACAGUGGCAGUGCAGACAAGCAGUAAGACCUGAGAUCCUUGGUUUGUAUACAUUUUGGGCUUGUGUGAGAAUACUCCCUCUCAAUAUGCUUAUUCUCUGAGGAAGCUUGUAUGAGCCAAAUAGGAAAGGGUUAGGAAGUUCCUUCUUUCCUCCCCACCCACCCCAUCAUGGCUGAUGGUUUAAUACCCAGCUAAAGGUUCCAGUUUGCUAAGGGCCCCAGGGAAGAUGAGAGUGAAAGUCAUUCCUAUGAGAUGUCAAGAGUCGCUGAAUCUGGCCUCACAUCAGUGUUCCUCAGAGUUAAAUGUGCCAGGAAUCAUAUUCACAGUUAGCAUUGAUGGAAAGCAUCCCUUGGGCAUGCUCUGGAAAAAGAGGUGAAAUAUAUAUUUUUAGUAUGGGUUUCCCAGAUGGCUCAGCGAGUAAAGAAUCCACCUGCCAAUGCAGAGGAGACACAGGAGACACGAGUUCAAUUCCUGGGUCAGGAAGAUCCCCUGGAGGAGGGAAUGCCAACCCACUCCAGUGUUCUUGCCUGAAAAAUCCCAUAGACAGAGGAGCCUAGUGGGCUUCAGUCCAAAGGAUAGCAAAGAGUUGAAUGCAGCUGAGCAUAGCACAGUCAUAUAUUUUUAGUAGAGAAGGGAGGGCCUCACCAGCCACAGUUGGCACAUGAACAGAUCUGCUAGCAGCUGGAGCUGUGAUCUGAAUGUUACUCACCGAGACGAAAGGAAGUAAAAUUCCUAGCUGCAGACACAGCCGUGCCCUCCCCAGGGGCUGCCUGUUUAAGAGCCAUUUUUGGCCUCUUCUUUCCUGACAUUCAAGGCUGAGCAUCCUUCCUCUGUGGAAAAUAGAGCUUCUGUUCAAGGACCAAACUUCAUCAUGACGAACGACUCUGGUUUUAAACCAUUUUCGAGAGAAGGUAUAUCUACAUGUGAAACAGACACAGAGCUGGAAGAUGGGAAGCGGAUCAGAAAUGCCCUGGGUUGGUUGUAGGUACUGCAUUUUCUAAGACUGGCUGUUAUCAGCAUGAAGGGGACCCCAGAUGUUCAAGGUGGGCUCAAGAGCUUGUAACAAUUCCUCUUCUCAUCUCAUGGUUCUGAUGGCCCCCAAAGCCUUGCUGUCUUGCAGCCCAACCAGAGGUCAAGGAAUAAUGCAAGAAACCCCAUUUCACUCAGAUUAUCCUGGAAUCACUUUCUCUUGGAGCUGGAAGAGGACCUAGGCCACCUCCCACCCCUGAAUCACUGAGAACCCUGGAGUCCCAGAGCAAAGGGUGGAUUCCAAGUGGAACAAAAAGGCCCCCUUGAGCAGAUGCAGCCAGAACCAUCACAGCUUUCCAGGGGCGUGAGGAGAUGCAGGGCAUGUAAUCUGUAAGUGUUUUUGUUUGUUUUAACCUGGAAUCCUCCAUGCUUUCUUGUUGGAGAGCCUGUCCUGGAAGAACAGCUUGCUAAGUGGCUGGUCCAUGUUGAAGGGGCAUUGUGAGCAUUUUGGAGGAACUGCAGUAGCCAACCGUGGGUGACCAGUGAAAAUGAAGGACUCCUCCCAGCCUGGAAACUCGAUGACUGGGUUCACCAAGGUCCAACCAACAGAGGCAAUGGCCACAGUGAAGUGACAGAGGUCCUGCCGCUGAGGAUGAAAAGCAGCAUUGCCAGUGUUUUACAAGCAGGGCCAAACUUCCAGGCUGCCUCACUCAACAUAUGAGCAUCUUUUUGUUUCCCUGUUCACCAGUCUCCACACUGCUGUGAAGGUGGCCAGGUGGGACAUGUCCUAUCAGCAAGCAGAGAGAAGAAGCAUAGGGUCCAGGGAACAUGGAACUGAGAGGACAAUCUUCUGUUUAAUGAAGGGGGAAAAAAAAGAACUGAGUGAUUCACGGAAAGCAAUCUGUUACCUGGAGGAAUUUAUAAUCAUUUAAUGAUCUUUAAUCAGAAUUUUAAAGAAUCUCCUAAGAAUGGUGGUUCAGGUAAGAAGAAUAAGUGAGUUGCAGUCUCCAGCUUUUCUCUUUCUCCUUGAAAUUUAAUGGUACAAAUAAAUCUACUUAAUUGACUUAACCGUUUCUAAUUUAUCUCUAAGAUUCCUUACAUGAUGUUGUCUGGACAUCUAUUCUACUCUCUGUCAGCAGGUGUCAAUCCUUUUUUUACCUUCCCUUUCUUCCUUUCUCCCAGAAAACCUCUUCAGUCUCAUACAGAUAUCUUGUCCCUGUAGCUCUCCCCUUAUUCUCUUUAUUUAUUUUUAAAAUAUUUUUAUUCGUUUAUUUAAUUUGGCUGCACCAGGUCUUCAUUGCAGCAUGGGGGGUCUAGUUCCCUGACCAGGGAUUGAACCCAGACCCCCUGCAUUGGGAGCACAGACUCUUAGACGCUCAACCACCAGAGAAGUCCCUCCUUGCUCUCUUUAGGUCCACCCUCCCUCUGACUUUGCUGCCUCCCUCUUGAGCCCAGACCCUAAGACAGAAGCAUCUCCCCCAGACCCUAGUCUCCCUGGUCCAUCUUGUCCUUUGCCGUUUUCCAGCAAAUCAAGAGAAAUCAACCAUCUGUGUUUUCUACUUUUAAGCAGGAGAGCCAGAUACUGCUGGAGAAAAUGAUACAUUCUUGUAUAUUGAUUCCACUGGUUUCUAAUGUCAGUUGUUUCCUUAACACUGUCCAGAAAUGUUAUCCCUUCCCAAAGAGCUUUUACUUCUUUAUGGAGAAGUUAAACAUUACCAUUCACCAUGCCAGCUGCAGUCCGGCUCUGACCCUGAAAUCGCAUGGACACAGCUCUUGCCAAGCUUGACAGGACCUUCUCUUUGCUGAGUUGUACUAAAUACCACAAGGAAGGAUGUUGGGUUGGAUAACUGGGGCUCUUAUCUUGACUUUGCUGUUUUUCAGCUGUGUCAUUUUGGCAAAUUUCUUUACUCCCUGAAAUCUCCAUUUUUUCACUCAUAAAAUAGAUAUAAAUAGAGAAUUGUAAGAAUUAAGUGAAUAACAGAAAUAUAAUUUUAAAAUUGCAGUCUAAUAAUAUUUAUCUUUUACUUGGAGUAUUUGGUUUGCAUGCGUGCUCAGUAGCUCAGUCAUGUCCCAUUCUUUGUGACCCCAUGGACUGUAGCCCACUAGGCUCCUCCAUCCAUGGGGUUUCCAAGGCAAGAAUACUGGAGUGGAUUGCCAUUUCCUCCUCCAGGAGAUCUCACAGACCCAGGGAUCAAGUUCACGUCUCCCGAGUCUCCCUCACUGCCAGGCAGAUUCUUUACAACUGAGCCACCUGGAAAGCCCUGGAGUAGUUGCUUUACUAAAUAUUAAUUUAAUCACUAGUAAAUGAGUUUAAAAUUUCCACCUAAUUUUUUUCUAUUUGUCCCCUGUUUCCUUUUUUUUGACCUGUUCUUGCCCUCUUUUGGAUUAAACAUUUUUUAUUAUUACAUUUGAUACCUAUCAUCAUGAUUAAUAUUAUUUUUGUUUGGGUCAGGAUAUUAUAAACUGUGAAAUUGAAGAUUUGCUUCCAGGAAAUCGACAAGGAUGACAUUUUGGAUCUGGGCAGCAUGCUAUUAUUCUUUUAUUUACUGAGCACCUACUUCAUACCACAUGCUGUUCAAGACUCUGAGAAUCAAACCAGGAAUAAAAACAGAUACAUGCUCUGCUCUCAUGCAGUUUACCAUCUAAAAGAAAAAGAGUAUGAACUCUAAGAUUAGACAGUCCUGAGUUCAGAAACUAGCAUUUUUACUAACUAGUUGUGUAACCUUAGACAACUGGCUACACAUGGGGUAUUCUAGUGUAAACCAUGGAAUGACACUCCUGGAGGGUAAUUUUGAAAUACAGAGAUAAUGUAUAGAAAAUUCUUGCACAGCUGGGGCAUGUAGAUGGUAAUAAAUGUGCUAUAAUUAAUUAUCA